GCCAUGAGGUAAGCAGCUUUCUUCUGCUAUAUCUUUUUGUGAUGUUUCUGCCUCAUCACAGGCCUAAAAGUCAUAGACUGAAACCUCUGAAGCAGUGAGCCAAACUAAAUCCUUCCUUUUCAAAAUUGUUUUUCCCAGGUAUUUGGUCACAUUGAUGAAAGCUAAUAUAUAUAUGGAAUAUGAGUGAAAACUUCAAUGGGUAACUAGACCUAUACAUUGAGGAUCAUGAGUUUGAAUAAUCAUAGACAUAUCCUUGAUGCCAAAGAAAGAAGAACUCCUGAACCCUAGUGAGAUGAGAAGCUGUCCUCUGCCUUGCCUUUCCACCAUGCCAUUUCUGCCUUGAAGCCAGCUGUCCCUGAACUGAAACCAUGAGCCAAAGUAAGCCUUUCUUCCUUUAAAUUACAAGUGUCAGAUGUUUUGUCACAAUGACAGAAAGUGACUAAGAUACUCUCCAUACUCUAAGGAAUACUAAAUAGAAGUCAAAGAAUCAAAGUUCCUAGGAAAUCUCAAGAAACCCCAAAUAGCCAAAAUAAUCUUGAGAAAGAACAUAGUUUGCAGCCUGAUACUUUCUGAUUUCAAAACAUUCUACAAAGUAGCAGUAAUUAAGAUAGUG
rnacentral:lncRNA from 1 species